CAACUUUUCCUCUCCACAGGUUUUGAUAAAUCUCCCCCUAUGUGUUUAAACUUUUCACCUGUCAUUCGACAAGGGACAUGUCUUAAAGAGAUUGAAUAUACAGAGUGACAGUCUUAUUUCGGAUGCUGCGUCCAUAGUCUAGCCAUUCUCCUGACAGUCAUCUGAAAUUGCACAGAAAACUUUGUACCCAGUAACACAACUACAAAAUAUCAAGAACCUUCUGGAAGGGAGGCAGAACUAAGCCUUUCCUAGGACUAUCUAUAGGAGGAAGCUACUGUGUAGUUGAUAACAGAUCAGUGUGGAGUGAGGAGGCAUCUUGUGAGUCUGUGAGGAGAUGUAGCCAAGAUGGAUCUGAGGAAGAGGAUAGUUCUUCCUCGUAAACGUAACAUUUCCAAUAAUUAUUUUGUAUACCUGUGAUGGCUGUUUUAAUUUAAUACUCCCAGUCAGCGCCUGUAAGUAUCCCUUUUUAUUCCACUGCGAAUGUGAGAUGUAGUCAAGGGCAUACCAGUCUUGGACCAGGCAACAGGCCUCAGGCCUGGCUGAGCACCCUGGCAGCAAAAGUGAUGCAUAUUUUGGGCAUCUGCACCCCACAGGUGGGAAUCGCAGUGCCUCAGUUUCUGACACCGUUCAGCUUGAAUUGCAGUAUUGGAGACGGACUGGAGAAGAAUUGCAUUAUAAGUUACCUAAGUCUCUGGCUUAUCACUUGCACCUCACCAUCAAGGGCACCCCAUUCUACACCAGCCAGGAGAAUUACCACCAUUGUAUUCAAGUGCAAUUCCAUCCUCUGUGAACAGACCAUGACCAGACUGUGACAUCUCAGGACUUUUUCUCUCACCCACCCAGCCAUCCUUCUUGGGCC